GACGAACGCUGGCGGCGUGCCUAAUACAUGCAAGUCGAACGCUUCUUUCCUCCCGAGUGCUUGCACUUAAUAGGAAAGGGGAGUUGCGGACGGGGGAGUAACCCUUGGUUAACCUACGUAUCAGAUGGGGAUAACACUUGGUAACAGCUGCUAAUACCGCGUAACAUUUUGUUCCGCAUGGCAUAAGAGUGAAAGUCGCUUUUGGUGGUCGCUGAUGGCUGGACCCGCGGGUUAUUAGCUAGUCGGUAUGGUAAGGGCUCACCAAGGCCACGAUGCAAAGACGACCUGAGAGGGUGAUCGGCCACACUGGAACUGAGACACGGUCCAGACUCCUACGGGAGGCAGCAGUAGGGAAUCUUCGGCAAAGGGCGAAAGUCUGACGGAGCAACGCCGCGUGAGUGAUGAAGGUGUUCGGAUCGUAAAACUCUGUUAUUAGGGAAGAACAGAUGUGUAAGUAACUGAGCAUAUCUUGACGGUACCUAAUCAGAAAGCCACGGCUAACUACGUG
rnacentral:rRNA from 1 species